rnacentral:misc_RNA from 1 species
UUUCUGUAGGUGAACCUGCGGAAGGAUCAUUACCGAGUGAGGGCCCUCUGGGUCCAACCUCCCACCCGUGUUUAUCGUACCUUGUUGCUUCGGCGGGCCCGCCUCACGGCCGCCGGGGGGCACCCGCCCCCGGGCCCGCGCCCGCCGAAGACACCAUUGAACGCUGUCUGAAGAUUGCAGUCUGAGCAUCUUAGCUAAAUCAGUUAAAACUUUCAACAACGGAUCUCUUGGUUCCG